rnacentral:lncRNA from 1 species
GUGCCAGAGAGGACCAAGCCAAGCCUUGGACGAGUCGGUGCAGGUCCCCGUCCCUCAACACGCCACUAAGAUGCUCUGGAUCUUCUUCGCUGGGUUGUUUCUCUGGGUUUAUCCAUACGCAGAGGCAGGUUGUUUUAACAUCACAGAAUUGAAAGAGGACAGCAUGGUGAUUACUGAAAUGGAAUGCUGUGAUCCGAUCCUGAAAAAUGCUUCUUUAGAGCACUCGGGAUUGUACAUUUGCUCUUUGUCACAAUCUAUAGCCGAUACAGUAUGGAGCAUACAUGAAAAUUUCUCUGCAAUAUGGGUGGAGGCUAGCCACGGUGCUCACAUCUUCGAGGAGGGCCAGAACGUCACCUUGAAGUGUGAAGCUUCCUCCACACCCGCCUCUGUUGCCUGGAGCUGGGAAAGACUGGAUAAGAAAAGGGUGUGGCAGGAAGUAGACACUGAGAAGCAGCUGGUGUUGAGCAGAAUGGAGGACAGUGGGGAGUACCGUUGCCGUGGCCACAGUGAGAUAUUAAACGUCACACGGAAAAGCCCGGCCUAUCAGGUCUACUUCUUCUCCAUACCUAACUCAGGGAGUGUGAGUCUGGCUGCGGCUGCACUGAGCCUGAGUCUGCUGGCCUUGCUCCUCCUCGUCGCGCUGGGGCUGUGGCUCUGGCUCAAAGAGAGGCCUAGCCCAAACACCAGAACCGCUGAGCCAAAUGACUAUGGUGAGUAGGCAAAAGUUCACAAGUUGAUAUGUGUGAAUAUUACAUUAUACCAUUUUAUUAUUACUAUCAUUAUUCAUGACCAUAACUGGCCGUGUUUUUUUUGUUUUGGUGUUUUGGUCUUCAUGUGUUUGCCACCUCCUGGUUAAAGGUUCAAAGUGAGUACCUUAUUCUAAUUAGCCUUCAGUUGUAGAAUCAUCAAUGCACUCUUUACAUAUUUUGCUGUCUUUUUCCUGAAGAGAGGAGUACAGUCUUUGUGAUCCUUUAAUUUGAAAUAGUCUUUUGUCAAUAUUUAUUGUAAAAGUACACUGAUGAAGAAUAGAUUGCACAAGAUAAAAACUUGAGUAGGGCACUCUGACUGACAUGUGCUUUAUGGAUUGCUGCUGUACUUCAGACAAUGCUGAUAGGCUCCAAGUCUAUACAGCAGGUGGAUAAUUAGUCAGUGGCAGACAUUUUAAAAAGCAUUGUUAGCAUUAGCAUUAGCAUUUGCUUACAAACAUGCUUGUGCAUUUGGGUGGUUUCAGAGGAGCUAACAUUCCUCCAGUGGAUGAUGAUGGCGAUGUCUACAUGAACAGUGUGGAGAUUGAGAAGGUCUACUCCAACCUAAACCCCACCUUCAGGGCAGAGGACCAAAGCUUUGCUACGCUCACUUAAAGAAGACAGGAUUAAAACCACUCAAUCACGCCUUCAACUACAUGAGACCAGCCUGAGAGAACCUGUAUCAAUCAGACAACCCAUAUCUACACUAAAAAGAGAAGACACCACCAAACCCCAGUCUCGUAAUGGAAUUCCAAAACUAGCCUGAGAGAAACUUUAUCAACCUGACUGAAUCUGAGGGAACCUACACUUACUCUGUACACCAACACGGGUAGUGUCGAGAUCGAGAGCCAAAACUAUAGCCUGAGAUAUUUUAGCUUCACAAAAGGGAACCUUCCUAUUGUCAAUUAAGCCAAUUAUGAGUAUGCAGAAAAAUGUGAUAAUGUGAUAGAGCAGUUCAUAUACCUUGUUCUG